CCUUGCUCAGCUUGUCUAUAAUGAUUAUAGACUAAAGGAGUAUUUUAGCUACCAAGCAUGGGUUUGUGUUUCAGAGGAAUUUGAUAUCUUUAGAGUACUGAAAACAAUCCUUGAGCAAGUCACAUCAUCAGCUACUGAUCACAUCGGGGACCUAAACACACUUCAACUUAAGUUGAUGGAGAAAUUAGCGGGGAAGAAAUUUCUUAUUGUUCUAGAUGAUGUUUGGAAUG
rnacentral:misc_RNA from 1 species